GAUGAACGCUGGCGGCGUGCCUAAUACAUGCAAGUCGAGCGAACAGACGAGGAGCUUGCUCCUCUGACGUUAGCGGCGGACGGGUGAGUAACACGUGGAUAACCUACCUAUAAGACUGGGAUAACUUCGGGAAACCGGAGCUAAUACCGGAUAAUAUAUUGAACCGCAUGGUUCAAUAGUGAAAGACGGUUUUGCUGUCACUUAUAGAUGGAUCCGCGCCGCAUUAGCUAGUUGGUAAGGUAACGGCUUACCAAGGCAACGAUGCGUAGCCGACCUGAGAGGGUGAUCGGCCACACUGGAACUGAGACACGGUCCAGACUCCUACGGGAGGCAGCAGUAGGGAAUCUUCCGCAAUGGGCGAAAGCCUGACGGAGCAACGCCGCGUGAGUGAUGAAGGUCCUCGGAUCGUAAAACUCUGUUAUUAGGGAAGAACAAAUGUGUAAGUAACUAUGCACGUCUUGACGGUACCUAAUCAGAAAACCACGGCUAACUACGU
rnacentral:rRNA from 1 species